rnacentral:rRNA from 1 species
GACGAACGCUGGCGGCGUGCUUAACACAUGCAAGUCGAACGGAAAGGCCUGCUUUCCCUUGUGGAUUGCGGGUACUCGAGUGGCGAACGGGUGAGUAACACGUGAGUGAUCUGCCCCCAACUUGGGUAUAAGCCUGGGAAACUGGGUCUAAUUCCCGAUAGGACUGCAGGGUGGUGCCUGUGGUGGAAAACGAUUUUCUAGUGGUUGGGGAUGAGCUCGCGGCCUAUCAGCUUGUUGGUGGGGUAAUGGCCUACCAAGGCGGCGACGGGUAGCCGGCCUGGGAGGGUGGACGGCAGCAUUGGGACUGCGAUACGGCCCCGACUCCUACGGGAGGCAGCAGUGGGGAAUAUUGCACAAUGGGCGGAAGCCUGAUGCAGCGACGCCGCGUGGGGGAUGACGGCCUUCGGGUUGUAAACUCCUUUCGACCGCGAGGAAGCCACCUGGUUGGAAGGGUGGUGACGGUAGUGGUAGAAGAAGCACCGGCUAACUACGUG